GACGAACGCUGGCGGCAUGCCUAACACAUGCAAGUCUAGGGGUAGCAAUACCACUGGCGCACGGGUGAGUAACACGUAGGUUAUCUGCCCCCAUCACAGACAUAACCCCGGGAAACCGGGGCUAAUAUCUGAUGAGGUCGCGAGAUCAAAGCUUCGGCGGAUGGGGAUGAGCCUGCGGCUGAUUAGCUAGUUGGUGAGGUAAUGGCUCACCAAGGCGACGAUCAGUAGCUGGUCUGAGAGGACGAACAGCCACACUGGAACUGAGACACGGUCCAGACUCCUACGGGAGGCAGCAGUGAGGAAUAUUGGUCAAUGGGGAGCAAUCCUGAACCAGCAAUGCCGCGUGUGGGAUGACAGGGCUUCGCCUUGUAAACCACUGUCGGACGGGACGAAAGGAGGCCUCGGGCCUCUGGGACGGUACCGUCAAAGGAAGGGUCGGCUAACUACGUGCCAGCAG
rnacentral:rRNA from 1 species